GUUAAUUUGGCAGCGUCAGGGUGCAGGAUGGAACAGCCGAGAAAGACCAGUGGCUACGGUUUCUAUCGCAGAUGUCAGAUACUCAGCGAUCUGACAGUACAUAUAGUUCGGACUACGUCGGUGGAUAGCACGGUGUGUCCGGAGUGGGAAGCUCCCUUUGUCCGACCAAGGCGCAAAGCGGAGAUAAGCGAACCAAGCGGAGAUAAGCGAACCAAGCGGAGAUAAGCGAACCAAUCGUCUACACUUGCCACCCGCCAGCUGACAUCUAAUUCUACUUCCACUUCAGAUGGAUGAGAAGACU